rnacentral:ncRNA from 1 species
AUAUAUGCAAUGAUGAAGAAAAGUAAAUUCAAAUAGAUGAUUUUUAGAGAGCAGAUGAUGGUGGAAUAUCUGUAUGAGUCUUGAAUUGAAAGAACACUUCGGAGCUAUUAACCGAAAUUUUAUAUUAAAAUAGUAGGCUUAAUCGGGUCCAUACCGUUAAAAGUGGAGAGUAUAAAACAAUAAUGUUUUGUACUUCAUUGAGGUGAGUUUUUUAUAAACUAACUAGGGUGGUACCGCGAGUUAAUCUCGUCCCUGUG